GACGAACGCUGGCGGCGUGCUUAACACAUGCAAGUCGAACGGAAAGGCCCUGCUUUUGUGUGGUGCUCGAGUGGCGAACGGGUGAGUAACACGUGAGUAACCUGCCCUUGACUUUGGGAUAACUUCAGGAAACUGGGGCUAAUACCGGAUAGGAGCUCCUGCUGCAUGGUGGGGUUUGGAAAGUUUCGGCGGUUGGGGAUGGACUCGCGGCUUAUCAGCUUGUUGGUGGGGUAGUGGCUUACCAAGGCUUUGACGGGUAGCCGGCCUGAGAGGGUGACCGGCGACAUUGGGACUGAGAUACGGCGCAGACUCCUACGGGAGGCAGCAGUGGGGAAUAUUGCACAAUGGGCGGAAGCCUGAUGCAGCAACGCCGCGUGCGGGAUGACGGCCUUCGGGUUGUAAACCGCUUUCGCCUGUGACGAAGCGUGAGUGACGGUAAUGGGUAAAGAAGCACCGGCUAACUACGUG
rnacentral:rRNA from 1 species